rnacentral:lncRNA from 1 species
UUUAGUGAUCAAUAAGGAUGAGAGAUUCAACAUUUAUGCAUUUGUACAUGCACAUAUGUAUCUGUAUAUUAUUAGUCCUAUAUAAAGGGUUUGUUUAGUUACAUAUCAUUUAGAGCGUUUGCGGCGGUCGUGUUUGGUUGGACCUCCAAAUGCACUGCACUAUUUUCUGUGUGUUGCGUUUGAGUUUCAAAUGAUUCGUUUGGGAGUUAAGUAAGCAGCGUUAGAAAUAAGUUGCUUCUAGAGAUGAAUAAGAUUUUUAAGUACGUUUGAACUUACAAAUGCUCUAAAAUGCACUAAAAGUGAUGUGUAAUGAAACAUGCACAUAGCCACUUGAGAAUGUGACUUCUGGCUUUUUCACACAUUAGUUGUUAGUAUAAGGCUUCAUGUCUGGUUGAGAUAAGUAGGAACAUAAUAUAUGCUGAUAUUUGUUGCAAGUGCCAAUAGAAUCAUAUUCUUGAAAUGCAUUUUAUGAACUAAUAUUUGGUGGAAGUGCCAACAAAAUCAUAUUCUUGAAUAACACCCCUCUUAUUAUUCGGAUAAAAAAGGCAUUAUCAUUGCUAAGUGCUUUUUUUUUGGCUAAAUUUUUGUUAAGUGCUUUUUAACUAC